UUGCUCUGAUUCAGCGGCGGACGGGUGAGUAAUGCCUAGGAAUCUGCCUGGUAGUGGGGGACAACGUUUCGAAAGGAACGCUAAUACCGCAUACGUCCUACGGGAGAAAGCAGGGGACCUUCGGGCCUUGCGCUAUCAGAUGAGCCUAGGUCGGAUUAGCUAGUUGGUGAGGUAAUGGCUCACCAAGGCGACGAUCCGUAACUGGUCUGAGAGGAUGAUCAGUCACACUGGAACUGAGACACGGUCCAGACUCCUACGGGAGGCAGCAGUGGGGAAUAUUGGACAAUGGGCGAAAGCCUGAUCCAGCCAUGCCGCGUGUGUGAAGAAGGUCUUCGGAUUGUAAAGCACUUUAAGUUGGGAGGAAGGGCAGUAAAUUAAUACUUUGCUGUUUUGACGUUACCGACAGAAUAAGCACCGGCUAACUCUGUGCCAGCAGCCGCGGUAAUACAGAGGGUGCAAGCGUUAAUCGGAAUUACUGGGCGUAAAGCGCGCGUAGGUGGUUCGUUAAGUUGGAUGUGAAAUCCCCGGGCUCAACCUGGGAACUGCAUCCAAAACUGGCGAGCUAGAGUAUGGUAGAGGGUGGUGGAAUUUCCUGUGUAGCGGUGAAAUGCGUAGAUAUAGGAAGGAACACCAGUGGCGAAGGCGACCACCUGGACUGAUACUGACACUGAG
rnacentral:rRNA from 1 species